rnacentral:rRNA from 1 species
UACGUAGGACGCAAGCGUUAUCCGGAUUCAUUGGGUUUAAAGGGUGCGUAGGCGGGCCUUUAAGUCAGUGGUGAAAGUUUGCCGCUUAACGGUAAGAUUGCCAUUGAUACUGGAGGCCUUGAGUGCAGAUGAGGUAGGCGGAAUGUGUAGUGUAGUGGUGAAAUACUUAGAUAUUACACAGAACACCGAUUGCGAAGGCAGCUUACUAAAUUGCAACUGACGCUGAGGCACGAAAGCGUGGGGAUCAAACAGGAUUAGAUACCCUGGUAGUCCACGCCGUAAACGAUGAUAACUGGUUGUUGGCGAUACAUUGUCAGCGACUGAGCGAAAGCAUUAAGUUAUCCACCUGGGGAGUACGUCGGCAACGAUGAA